rnacentral:rRNA from 1 species
GGGCCCGCACAAGCGGUGGAGCAUGUGGUUUAAUUCGAUGAUACGCGAGGAACCUUACCAGGGCUUAAAUGUAAGUUGCAUGGAUCAGAGAUGAUCCUUUCUUCGGACCACUUACAAGGUGCUGCAUGGUUGUCGUCAGCUCGUGCCGUGAGGUGUCAGGUUAAGUCCUAUAACGAGCGCAACCCCUAUCGUUAGUUGCCAGCAAGUAAAGUUGGGUACUCUAGCGAGACUGCCGGUGCAAACCGAGAGGAAGGUGGGGAUGACGUCAAAUCAUCACGGCCCUUACGUCCUGGCUACACACGUGCUACAAUGGCCGGUACAGAGAGCAGCCACCACGCGAGUGGGAG